rnacentral:piRNA from 1 species
UNUCCGAGCCUUUGUUGACUUUGAUGG